rnacentral:miRNA from 1 species
CCUCCGGAUCACAUGGUUACUCA